UCCGGUGGUUAUGGCGAGGGGAGAACACCCGAUUCCAUACCGAACUCGGUCGUGAAAACCCUCAGCGCCGAUGGUACUUUGUCUUAAGGCACGGGAGAGUAGGACGUUGCCGGGC
rnacentral:rRNA from 1 species